rnacentral:rRNA from 1 species
GAUGAACGCUGGCGGCGUGCCUAAUACAUGCAAGUCGAGCGAACGGACGAGAAGCUUGCUUCUCUGAUGUUAGCGGCGGACGGGUGAGUAACACGUGGAUAACCUACCUAUAAGACUGGGAUAACUUCGGGAAACCGGAGCUAAUACCGGAUAAUAUUUUGAACCGCAUGGUUCAAAAGUGAAAGACGGUCUUGCUGUCACUUAUAGAUGGAUCCGCGCUGCAUUAGCUAGUUGGUAAGGUAACGGCUUACCAAGGCAACGAUGCAUAGCCGACCUGAGAGGGUGAUCGGCCACACUGGAACUGAGACACGGUCCAGACUCCUACGGGAGGCAGCAGUAGGGAAUCUUCCGCAAUGGGCGAAAGCCUGACGGAGCAACGCCGCGUGAGUGAUGAAGGUCUUCGGAUCGUAAAACUCUGUUAUUAGGGAAGAACAUAUGUGUAAGUAACUGUGCACAUCUUGACGGUACCUAAUCAGAAAGCCACGGCUAACUACGUGCCAGCAGCCGCGGUAAUACGUAGGUGGCAAGCGUUAUCCGGAAUUAUUGGGCGUAAAGCGCACGUAGGCGGUUUUUUAAGUCUGAUGUGAAAGCCCACGGCUCAACCGUGGAGGGUCAUUGGAAACUGGAAAACUUGAGUGCAGAAGAGGAAAGUGGAAUUCCAUGUGUAGCGGUGAAAUGCGCAGAGAUAUGGAGGAACACCAGUGGCGAAGGCGACUUUCUGGUCUGUAACUGACGCUGAUGUGCGAAAGCGUGGGGAUCAAACAGGAUUAGAUACCCUGGUAGUCCACGCCGUAAACGAUGAGUGCUAAGUGUUAGGGGGUUUCCGCCCCUUAGUGCUGCAGCUAACGCAUUAAGCACUCCGCCUGGGGAGUACGACCGCAAGGUUGAAACUCAAAGGAAUUGACGGGGACCCGCACAAGCGGUGGAGCAUGUGGUUUAAUUCGAAGCAACGCGAAGAACCUUACCAAAUCUUGACAUCCUUUGACGACUCUAGAGAUAGAGCCUUCCCCUUCGGGGGACAAAGUGACAGGUGGUGCAUGGUUGUCGUCAGCUCGUGUCGUGAGAUGUUGGGUUAAGUCCCGCAACGAGCGCAACCCUUAAGCUUAGUUGCCAUCAUUAAGUUGGGCACUCUAAGUUGACUGCCGGUGACAAACCGGAGGAAGGUGGGGAUGACGUCAAAUCAUCAUGCCCCUUAUGAUUUGGGCUACACACGUGCUACAAUGGACAAUACAAAGGGCAGCGAAACCGCGAGGUCAAGCAAAUCCCAUAAAGUUGUUCUCAGUUCGGAUUGUAGUCUGCAACUCGACUACAUGAAGCUGGAAUCGCUAGUAAUCGUAGAUCAGCAUGCUACGGUGAAUACGUUCCCGGGUCU